AGUCACUGACAUUAGAUACCCCUGUAGUCCCAGCCGUAAACUAUGCGCGUUAGGUGUACUGGUGACCACGAGUCACCGGGGUGCCGAAGGGAAACCGUGAAACGUGCCGCCUGGGAAGUACGGUCGCAAGGCUGAAACUUAAAGGAAUUGGCGGGGGAGCACCGCAACGGGAGGAGCGUGCGGUUUAAUUGGAUUCAACACCGUAAACUCACCAGGGAAGACUGUUACAUGAAGGCCGAGCUAAAGACUCUGCUAGAUUUUCAG
rnacentral:rRNA from 1 species